rnacentral:rRNA from 1 species
AGAGUUUGAUCCUGGCUCAGCCUGAACGCUGGCGGCGUGGCUAAGACAUGCAAGUCGUACGGGGCCCGCAAGGGUCCAGUGGCGAACGGGUGAGUAAUGUAUCGCUAACGUACCCCUAUGUCCGGGAUAGCUGAGGGAAACUUCAGGUAAUACCGGGUGACAUUCUCUUUUCGCAUGAAGAGAGACUCAAAGGGAAACCGCAAAGGGAGCGGGCGAUAUCGUAUCAGCUAGUUGGUGAGGUAACGGCUCACCAAGGCAAUGACGCGUAGCCGGACUGAGAGGUCGGACGGCCACAUUGGGACUGAGACACUGCCCAGACUCCUACGGGGGGCUGCAGUAACGAAUCUUCCGCAAUGCACGCAAGUGUGACGGAGCGACGCCGCGUGUGGGACGAAGUCCUUCGGGAUGUAAACCACUGUCAGGGGU